GAGGACAGGCCGGUUUAGAGCUCAUCUGCAACUGAUGACACUAAGCAGGCCACCUCCUUUUUCAGCUCAUCCAAGUCCCUGUCCUUCUUCCGCUUCCCCCCAUUCUCGGCGCCACACUGGAGGAAAAGAGAGACAGAUUACCAUAUACCAGGCCCAUAGGCUAUCACCCCACACCUCUACAGGAAAGAUGCUGUCCCGGGAUCCAUCAGGCCUGUAUGUCCAGGAGAAAGUGACGUCCUCCGAGGUCCAGCGCCAGGAGAAGAAGGAACAGGACAGCCGGAUGUCGGAGCCCACUAGGGCGUGGCGCUCCCAGCCGGUGUAAAUCACUAUGGCCUGGGACUGCUCAGGCACUGGGAGACACAAAGAAGGCGGAUAUGGAGGACAACCGACGCCAGCGCCAAAAACGUCAGCAUGGUUUCUGGCUUCUACGGAGCUCCCAAAAGACGGAUGCAGCAGGACCUGACGGGAGUCAGUCGAGGAAGAGUCCCACUCUGGAGGGAGUGUGAGCGGAAGGAGGAGAAAGAAAGAAAGAGAGUGGAGGGGUGCAGGAUGCCAGGACAGAGGGCUUCAAAACAGGACAACAACAGAAAACCCACUGUCCCCUGGUUUAUACCCAACCACACCCCUCGCCCCGGCCCGGCCCGGCCCAGUACUCCUCUCCUCUCCACACCCCCAACCCUUACCCCUCCCUGCCAUGUCUCUCAAUUUCAUCCUUCAUUGAAACAAAUUACACACAUUAUCUUUUGAAGUGGGAGAAAAACGCAGGCGAAGUGCACCUGCACUGUACAGUAGCUGGUGAAUUAGUUGGGUAAACAAUAGGCAACUUGGGGCAAAUUUGCCAACUCUGUGCAGCAUUACACCAUGAUUAAUGUAAUGUGUUAGAUCACACCCUCACUGUGAUGUGAUUGCGUUGAGAGGGAAUGCUAAUCAACGCUUGGCAUGUGUAGGCGCGAGCGAGGGUGUGUGACAGGGAAUCAUGACCAUCUGCGGUCGCACUGUAUGUGAUCACUGCUCAUAUGUAAAUAUUACAUGGGGAAUGGUGGGAGGCUGUCUCGGCCUGUUUCUGUCUGUUUACAGUGAAGGAGGAGGGGAUGAAGGGCAUCCUGCGGCGAGGUCAGACCAGUGCUCUCUCCUCCGUCCCCAUCCCUCUCUCUUCUUUCGCCUCUCCCUGCACUUUCAGCGAGUCUGAGGCCAGCGGCCCAAACAAAGCCCCGACUCUUUGCUCUCUCUUUUCUCCCCGUCCUCCCUCUCUCCAGAUUCUUGUCGUUUGCUGACGUCUAGCACUUGGAGACAAUGGAGAGCGAGGGGGACAGGGGCUGACUGGUGUUUGCCCGUCUGUCAAUGGCGCUUUCUUCCUCUCAGGCCUCACCCUCUCCUUCUCCCAGCCUCAUUUUCUCCUCCUUCCUUAACAAAGCUGUGUAUUCACUGCUGCCCCCACUCCUCACUUUUCCAGUAACAUAGAGAGCGAGAGAGUGGGGAAGAGACCUGCUAUAUAUAGACGGGUUGAUAUGAGGACAGGACAAGACAAGAUGCGCAGACACAAGAGCAAGAGCCUGCGGUGUGACUGAGCGGACACACUGAAGGGGAAUUUCUGCAAAAAGGCUCAUUUGUG